UGCAAGUCGAACGGGAUCCAUGCAGUGCUUGCACUGCGGAAGAUCUAGUGGCGAACGGGUGAGGAACACGUGAGAAACCUGCCCUGGAUUCUGGGAUAACAGCGGGAAACUGCUGCUAAUACCGGAUACCUUCGGACCGUCGCAUGGCGGACCGAAGAAAGUUUUUCGAUCCAGGAGGGUCUCGCGGCCUAUCAGCUAGUUGGUGGGGUAAUGGCCUACCAAGGCAUCGACGGGUAGCUGGUCUGAGAGGAUGAUCAGCCACACUGGGACUGAGACACGGCCCAGACUCCUACGGGAGGCAGCAGUGGGGAAUCUUGCGCAAUGGGCGAAAGCCUGACGCAGCAACGCCGCGUGCGGGAAGAAGGCUUUCGGGUUGUAAACCGCUUUCAGCAGGGAAGAAAAUGACGGUACCUGCAGAAGAAGGUGCGGCCAACUACGUGCCAGCAGCCGCGGUGACACGUAGGCACCAAGCGUUGUCCGGAUUUAUUGGGCGUAAAGAGCUCGUAGGCGGUUUAGUAAGUCGGGUGUGAAAACUUUGGGCUUAACCCAAAGCCUGCAUUCGAUACUGCUAUGACUUGAGUUCGGUAGGGGAGCGGGGAAUUCCUAGUGUAGCGGUGAAAUGCGCAGAUAUUAGGAGGAACACCGGUGGCGAAGGCGCCGCUCUGGGCCGAUACUGACGCUGAGGAGCGAAAGCGUGGGUAGCAAACAGGAUUAGAUACCCUGGUAGUCCACGCCGUAAACGUUGGGCACUAGAUGUGGGUCUCAACCAACGAGAUCCGCGUCGUCGCUAACGCAUUAAGUG
rnacentral:rRNA from 1 species